rnacentral:rRNA from 1 species
UGGGGAAUUUUGCACAAUGGGGGAAACCCUGAUGCAGCGACGCCGCGUGAUUUAGAAGGCCUUCGGGUUGUAAAAAUCUUUUGUAUGGGAAGAAAAUGACAGUACCAUACGAAUAAGGACCGGCUAAUGACGUGCCAGCAGCCGCGGUAAUACGUAAGGUCCGAGCGUUGUCCGGAAUCAUUGGGCGUAAAGGGUACGUAGGCGGAUAAGCAAGUUAGAAGUGAAAUCCUAUAGCUCAACUAUAGUAAGCUUUUAAAACUGCUCAUCUUGAGGUAUGGAAGGGAAAGUGGAAUUCCUAGUGUAGCGGUGAAAUGCGCAGAUAUUAGGAGGAAUACCGGUGGCGAAGGCGACUUUCUGGACUUGAACUGACGCUGAGGCACGAAAGCGUGGGGAGCAAACAGG